UCCUACGGGAGGCAGCAGUGGGGAAUAUUGCACAAUGGGCGCAAGCCUGAUGCAGCAACGCCGCGUGAGGGACGAAGGCCUUCGGGUUGUAAACCUCUUUUAGUAGGGAAGAAGCGACUGGGUUUUCCUGGGAGUGACGGUACCUGCAGAAAAAGCACCGGCUAACUACGUGCCAGCAACCGCGGUAAUACGUAGGGUGCAAGCGUUGUCCGGAAUUAUUGGGCGUAAAGAGCUCGUAGGCGGUUUGUCGCGUCUGCUGUGAAAACCCGAGGCUCAACCUCGGGCCUGCAGUGGGUACGGGCAGACUAGAGUGCGGUAGGGGAGAUUGGAAUCCUGGUGUAGCGGUGGAAUGCGGAGAUAUCAGGAGGAACACCAAUGGCGAAGGCAGAUCUCUGGGCCGUAACUGACGCUGAGGAGCGAAAGCAUGGGGAGCGAACAGGAUUAGAUACCCUGGCAGUCCAUGCCGUAAACGUUGGGAACUAGAUGUGGGGACCAUUCCACGGUCUCCGUGUCGCAGCUAACGCAUUAAGUUCCCCGCCUGGGGAGUACGGCCGCAAGGCUAAAACUCAAAGGAAUUGACGGGGGCCCGCACAAGCGGCGGAGCAUGCGGAUUAAUUCGAUGCAACGCGAAGAACCUUACCAAGGCUUGACAUAUACCGGAAACGGCUGGAAACAGUCGCCCCGCAAGGUCGGUAUACAGGUGGUGCAUGGUUGUCGUCAGCUCGUGUCGUGAGAUGUUGGGUUAAGUCCCGCAACGAGCGCACCCUCGUCCUAUGUUGCCAGCACGUAAUGGUGGGAACUCAUGGGAUACUGCCGGGGUCAACUCGGAGGAAGGUGGGGAUGACGUCAAAUCAUCAUGCCCCUUAUGUCUUGGGCUUCACGCAUGCUACAAUGGCCGGUACAAAGGGCUGCGAUACCGCAAGGUGGAGCGAAUCCCAAAAAGCCGGUCUCAGUUCGGAUUGAGGUCUGCAACUCGACCUCAUGAAGUCGGAGUCGCUAGUAAUCGCAGAUCAGCAACGCUGCGGUGAAUACGUUCCCGGGCCUUGUACACACCGCC
rnacentral:rRNA from 1 species